rnacentral:rRNA from 1 species
GAGAGAGACAUGCGCGCAUAUCAAUAAGCGGAGGAAAAGAAACUAACAAGGAUUCCCUUAGUAACGGCGAGUGAAGCGGGAAGAGCUCAAAUUUGAAAUCUUCAAGGUUUUACCAUUGACGAAUUGUAGUUUAAAGAAGUGUUUUCUGCUGAAGUUUUGGUAAAAGUUCUUUGGAAUAGGACAUCAUAGAGGGUGAGAAUCCCGUAUUUGACCAUUAUUUUCAGCUUUGUGAUACACUUUCAAAGAGUCGGAUUGUUUGGGAAUGCAGUCCAAAAUGGGUGGUAAAUUUCAUCUAAAGCUAAAUAUUGGCGAGAGACCGAUAGCGAACAAGUACCGUGAGGGAAAGAUGAAAAGAACUUUGAAAAGAGAGUUAAACAGUACGUGAAAUUGUCAAAAGGGAAGCGUUUGACACCAGUGUUGUUUUCUCGAAAAUCAAUUAAAAAUGGCUCGAUUUUGUAUUGCUGAGACCUUAAAAGCUCACUGUACAUUUUUCGUGUCUUUUUUAAUGCACUUUUCGUUUAACAAGUCAACAUCAGUUUCUUUUGUUGUAAAAGGGUCAUUGGAAGGUGGCUUUCUUUUCGGAGAAAGUGUUUAUAGCCUUUGGCCUCUGCAAUCGGAGAGACUGAGGUCUGCAGCGUAGACUCUUCGGGGUUAGAUACAUUUGUGCUAAGUUAUAGCUUUUUAUAGACAACUUGUUGACUAUAAUUAGUCUUGUAGCUUACUCGCUUAUGCUAUUUUACCUACGCUUAGGAUGUUGAAGAUGUAGCACAUCAU